rnacentral:rRNA from 1 species
UACGGGGGGGUGCGAGCGUUGUCCGGAAUCACUGGGCGUAAAGAGCGCGCAGGCGGUCGUCCAAGUCGCGUGUGAAAGCCCCCGGCUCAACCGUGGAGGGUCAUUGGAAACUGGAGAACCUGAGUACAGAAGAGGAAAGCGGAAUUCCACGUGUAGCGGUGAAAUGCGUAGAGAUGUGGAGGAACACCAGUGGCGAAGGCGGCUUUCUGGUCUGUAACUGACGCUGAGGCGCGAAAGCGUGGGGAGCAAACAGG